rnacentral:rRNA from 1 species
AUUGAACGCUGGCGGCAGGCUUAACACAUGCAAGUCGAGCGGGGUGAUGGUGCUUGCACUAUCACUUAGCGGCGGACGGGUGAGUAAUGCUUAGGAAUCUGCCUAUUAGUGGGGGACAACAUCUCGAAAGGGAUGCUAAUACCGCAUACGUCCUACGGGAGAAAGCAGGGGAUCACUUGUGACCUUGCGCUAAUAGAUGAGCCUAAGUCGGAUUAGCUAGUUGGUGGGGUAAAGGCCUACCAAGGCGACGAUCUGUAGCGGGUCUGAGAGGAUGAUCCGCCACACUGGGACUGAGACACGGCCCAGACUCCUACGGGAGGCAGCAGUGGGGAAUAUUGGACAAUGGGGGGAACCCUGAUCCAGCCAUGCCGCGUGUGUGAAGAAGGCCUUAUGGUUGUAAAGCACUUUAAGCGAGGAGGAGGCUCUUUUGGUUAAUACCCAAGAUGAGUGGACGUUACUCGCAGAAUAAGCACCGGCUAACUCUGUGCCAGCCGCCGCCGUAA